UACGUAGGGGGCAAGCGUUGUCCGGAUUUAUUGGGCGUAAAGAGCGUGUAGGCGGUUUGGUAGGUCCGUUGUGAAAACUCGAGGCUCAACCUCGAGACGCCGGCGGAAACCAUCAGGCUAGAGUCCGGAAGAGGAGAGUGGAAUUCCUGGUGUAGCGGUGAAAUGCGCAGAUAUCAGGAGGAACACCGGUGGCGAAGGCGGUUCUCUGGGCAUGACCUGACGCUGAGGAGCGAAAGUGUGGGGAGCGAACAGG
rnacentral:rRNA from 1 species